AUGGCAAUACUAAAUAGUAUGAGUAAUCUAGAUCCCAAAGUGAAACUAAAAGCGGUAAAGGCAUUUACAGAUGAUUCAAGCAAUCAAGUCCCAUCAAAAAUAUUGGGUGACGCAAGAUUCUACCCAUAUUUCAAGAACUGCCUAAGAGAAAUUGAUGGGACACAUAUUGAGGCAAAAGUCAGGCUUGAUAAGCAAACUCCUUAUAGAAACAGACAUGGUUAUCCGUCUCAAAAUGUAAUGGCAGUAGUGUCAUUUGACAUGACAUUCUCUUAUGUCGCUGCUGGAUGGGAGGGUUCUGCAUCGGAUCAAGCUGUUCUAAGAUGGGCUGUGACUAGUGGGGGUUUAGUUGUUCCUGAAGGUAAAUUUUACCUUGUUGAUUCAGGCUACGCAAAUACUCCAAGAUUUAUUGCCCCGUAUCGUGGAGAUCGCUAUCAUAUUGCUUCUUUUCGUGGAAGUAAUCGGCGAUAUACUAGUGAGAAGGACUUGUUCAACCAUCUACAUGCACAGUUGCGGAAUGUUGUUGAACGAACUUUUGGUGUUCUAAAAGCUCGUUUUCCAAUUCUAAGUAGGAAAGGAGGAAUUCCUUAUCCAUACAGAACUCAAGUGAAAAUUGUUAUGGCUUGUUGCAUUAUCCACAACUUCAUAAGGAAGGUUAAUCAUCCUGAUGAGUUAUUCGAGGUUUAUGAGCAUGGGGAAACAGAACAAAAUACUGACCAUGGUGAUCAACAAGUUAAUGGGCAAGCAAGAGAAGAUGAUAGAGUUGCUGGUGAGAGAGUUCGUGCUGCCAUCGCCCGAGAGUUGUGGACUAAACAUCAACAAUGUAGUGCUCAACCAGAAGAUGAUUAA
rnacentral:rRNA from 1 species